AUUGAACGCUGGCGGCAGGCUUAACACAUGCAAGUCGAGCGGAGAUGAGGUGCUUGCACCUUAUCUUAGCGGCGGACGGGUGAGUAAUGCUUAGGAAUCUGCCUAUUAGUGGGGGACAACAUUCCGAAAGGAAUGCUAAUACCGCAUACGUCCUACGGGAGAAAGCAGGGGACCUUCGGCCUUGCGCUAAUAGAUGAGCCUAAGUCGGAUUAGCUAGUUGGUGGGGUAAAGGCCUACCAAGGCGACGAGCUGUAGCGGGUCUGAGAGGAUGAUCCGCCACACUGGGACUGAGACACGGCCCAGACUCCUACGGGAGGCAGCAGUGGGGAAUAUUGGACAAUGGGCGGGAGCCUGAUCCAGCCAUGCCGCGUGUGUGAAGAAGGCCUUUUGGUUGUAAAGCACUUUAAGCGAGGAGGAGGCUACUUAGAUUAAUACUCUAGGAUAGUGGACGUUACUCGCAGAAUAAGCACCGGCUAACUCUGUGCCAGCCGCCGCGGUAAUAC
rnacentral:rRNA from 1 species